rnacentral:rRNA from 1 species
AACGAACGCUGGCGGCGCGCCUAAUACAUGCAAGUCGAACGAGAAGGUGUAGCAAUACACUUGUACAGUGGCGAACGGGUGAGGAAUGCAUGGGCAACCUACCCUCGAGUGGGGAACAACCAGCCGAAAGGUUGGCUAAUACCGCGUACGCUUCCGGGUCUCCGGAUCCGGAAGGAAAGUCACACCGUGGGUGUGACGCUCAAGGAUGGGCUCAUGUCCUAUCAGCUUGCUGGUGAGGUAACGGCUCACCAAGGCAACGACGGGUAGCCGGCCUGAGAGGGCGCACGGCCACACUGGAACUGAAACACGGUCCAGACUCCUACGGGAGGCAGCAGUGGGGAAUUUGCGCAAUGGGGGAAACCCUGACGCAGCAACGCCGCGUGGAGGAUGAAGUCCC